rnacentral:rRNA from 1 species
AUUGAACGCUGGCGGCAUGCCUUACACAUGCAAGUCGAACGGCAGCGGACCUUCGGGUGCCGGCGAGUGGCGAACGGGUGAGUAAUGCAUCGGAACGUACCUUUCAGUGGGGGAUAACGUAGCGAAAGUUACGCUAAUACCGCAUAUUCUGUGAGCAGGAAAGCAGGGGAUCGCAAGACCUUGCGCUGAUUGAGCGGCCGAUGUCAGAUUAGCUAGUUGGUGAGGUAAAGGCUCACCAAGGCGACGAUCUGUAGCGGGUCUGAGAGGAUGAUCCGCCACACUGGAACUGAGACACGGUCCAGACUCCUACGGGAGGCAGCAGUGGGGAAUUUUGGACAAUGGGGGCAACCCUGAUCCAGCCAUGCCGCGUGAGUGAAGAAGGCCUUCGGGUUGUAAAGCUCUUUCGGCCGGGAAGAAAUCGCACGGGCUAAUACCCUGUGUGGAUGACGGUACCGGAAUAAGAAGCACCGGCUAACUACGUGCCAGCCGCCGCAGUAA